rnacentral:lncRNA from 1 species
AUGGAUCUGAAGUGGAAUGCGAAUGAGCAGAUAUGUUCUGGAUGUUUAAGACAUUUAUUGACUCUCAGACUUCAGUUUUGCCCAAAGCAGAAUGAAGUUAAACAAUUGUGGGUUAAUGAUUUUUAUUUUGACAUGAGGACAGCAAUGGGGGAGAUAUUAAAGAAGAGCAUCAGAUGAUUUUGGAAGAAAAAAAAGAAGUAAAAAAGUAGUGCUUGAAAGUUUCCAGAGCAGAUGAGAAAUAAACAGACCAAGCAUCUCA